AGCAACGUCACAAGGAAAGAGAGCAGCUAUCACUAAAAUAUUUAUUUCCAAAUCUUUGUUUUAAGGAUGAGUUCCUUUGGAAUUACUGAACAGAUUUUUGAGUAAUGUAUAAAAACAUUGUUGAAUGCUUGUAAUAUCUCUGGAACAGUGAAUUAGAAACUUGAAGGCUUACAUUUCAUUUUCGAUUCAAUGGUUGUCACAAUGGACUUCAGACAGAUCUGUUUAACUCUUGGCCUUUUAGCAGGUUUAACUACCAGAACUGCAGUUGCCCAAAACACAACCCUAACUGCUCCAACCACAAUAACAGCUCCUACAGAGACAAC